UACGGAGGGGGCUAGCGUUGUUCGGAAUUACUGGGCGUAAAGCGCACGUAGGCGGCUUUGUAAGUUAGAGGUGAAAGCCCGGGGCUCAACUCCGGAAUUGCCUUUAAGACUGCAUCGCUAGAAUUGUGGAGAGGUAAGUGGAAUUCCGAGUGUAGAGGUGAAAUUCGUAGAUAUUCGGAAGAACACCAGUGGCGAAGGCGACUUACUGGACACAUAUUGACGCUGAGGUGCGAAAGCGUGGUGAGCAAACAGG
rnacentral:rRNA from 1 species